rnacentral:misc_RNA from 1 species
GUGAAUCAUCGAAUUUUUGAACGCAAAUUGCACUCUCUGGUAUUCCGGAGAGUAUGCCUGUUUGAGGGUCAGUUUAAAUAAAAAUCGGUGUGGUUGCUGCCUUUCGUGGUGACGCACCGGAUUUGGGUCGUCUUGCCUUCGGUUAAGUGCCCUAAAAUUUUGCUGGUUUUUUUUCGAAUUACUUUAAAUAUUUUUAGGUACGUUGGCGGA